rnacentral:rRNA from 1 species
CCUACGGGUGGCAGCAGUGGGGAAUAUUGCACAAUGGGGGAAACCCUGAUGCAGCGACGCCGCGUGAGUGAAGAAGUAUUUCGGUAUGUAAAGCUCUAUCAGCAGGGAAGAAAAAAGACGGUACCUGACUUAGAAGCCACUGCUAACUACGUGCCAGCAGCCGCGGUAAUACGGAGGGGGCAAGCGUUACCCGGAUUUACUGGGUGUAAAGGGAGCGUAGACGGUAUGGCAAGUCUGAAGUGAAAGCCCAGGGCUUAACCCUGGGACUGCUUUGGAAACUGUUAGACUAGAGUGCUGGAGAGGUAAGUGGAAUUCCUAGUGUAGCGGUGAAAUGCGUAGAUAUUAGGAGGAACACCAGUGGCGAAGGCGGCUUACUGGACAGUAACUGACGUUGAGGCUCGAAGGCCAGGGGAGCGAAAGGGAUUAGAUACCCCUGUAGUC